GAUGAAGAACGUAGCGAAAUGCGAUAAGUAAUGUGAAUUGCAGAAUUCAGUGAAUCAUCGAAUCUUUGAACGCACAUUGCGCCCGCCAGUAUUCUGGCGGGCAUGCCUGUUCGAGCGUCAUUUCAACCAUCAAGCCCCCGGCUUGUGUUGGGGACCUGCGGCUGCCGCAGGCCCUGAAAACCAGUGGCGGGCUCGCUAGUCACUCCGAGCGUAGUAAUACAUCUCGCUCAGGGCGUGCUGCGGGUUCCGGCCGUUAAAAAGCCUUAUUUACCCAAGGUUGACCACGGAUCAGGUAGGAAGACCCGCUGAACUUAAGCAUAUCAAUAAGCGGAGGA
rnacentral:misc_RNA from 1 species